ACGUAUGGUGCAAGCGUUAAUCGGAAUUACUGGGCGUAAAGCGUGCGCAGGCGGUUAUGCAAGACAGAUGUGAAAUCCCCGGGCUCAACCUGGGAACUGCAUUUGUGACUGCAUGGCUGGAGUACGGCAGAGGGGGAUGGAAUUCCGCGUGUAGCAGUGAAAUGCGUAGAUAUGCGGAGGAAUACCGAUGGCGAAGUCAGUCCCCUGGGCCUGUACUGACACUGAGGCACGAAAGCGUGGGGAGCAAACAGGA
rnacentral:rRNA from 1 species